GAUGAACGCUGGCGGCGUGCCUAAUACAUGCAAGUCGAGCGAACAGACGAGGAGCUUGCUCCUCUGACGUUAGCGGCGGACGGGUGAGUAACACGUGGAUAACCUACCUAUAAGACUGGGAUAACUUCGGGAAACCGGAGCUAAUACCGGAUAAUAUAUUGAACCGCUUGGUUCAAUAGUGAAAGACGGUUUUGCUGUCACUUAUAGAUGGAUCCGCGCCGCAUUAGCUAGUUGGUAAGGUAACGGCUUACCAAGGCAACGAUGCGUAGCCGACCUGAGAGGGUGAUCGGCCACACUGGAACUGAGACACGGUCCAGACUCCUACGGGAGGCAGCAGUAGGGAAUCUUCCGCAAUGGGCGAAAGCUUGACGGAGCAACGCCGCGUGAGUGAUGAAGGUCUUCGGAUCGUAAAACUCUGUUAUUAGGGAAGAACAAAUGUGUAAGUAACUAUGCACGUCUUGACGGUACCUAAUCAGAAAGCCACGGCUAACUACGUG
rnacentral:rRNA from 1 species